CAAACAUGUCUUUUUGUAUUAUAUAAAAGGUUUGGCCUGCUCUAUGAUUUAUUAAAUGGCUGCAGUAUUUUGACUGUACAAAGGUAGCAUAAUCAUUUGUCUUUUAAUUGAAGGCUGGUAUGAAUGGUUGGAUGAAAAAUAUGCUUUCUUUAUUUUAUAUAAAAAAAUUAAUUUUUUAGUUAAAAAGCUAAAAUUUUUUUAAAGGACGAGAAGACCCUAUAGAACUUUAUUAUUAAUAAUAUAUAGUUUUUUGGGUUAUUAUAAAUUAAUAUUUUUAUAAUAAUUUUGUUGGGGUGAUGGAAAAAAUUAUAAAACUUUUUCUAUUUAAUACAUAUAUUGAUGUAUAUUUGAUCCUUUAUUAUGGGUAAUAAGAUUAAGUUACCUUAGGGAUAACAGCGUUAUUUUUUUGGAGAGUUCAUAUUGAUAAAAAAGUUUGCGACCUCGAUGUUGGAUUAAAAUAAGUAAUGGGGGUAGUAUAUCAUUUUACUAGGUCUGUUCGACCUUUAAAUUUUUACAUGAUCUGGUUUU
rnacentral:rRNA from 1 species